rnacentral:lncRNA from 1 species
GAUUCUGAUGUGUGCUUCAACAUGAUUAAGCCUUGAGUUCUUUCUGCUAAGUGAAAUAAUCAGACUCAAAAAGACAACUACUACAUGAUUCCACUUAACAGAGGUGCGUAACGUCAUGAAAUGCAUAGGCAGAAAAUGAAAAGGUGGUUGUCAGCGGCUGGAGGGAGGGGGAAAGAGGAGUUGGUGUUUAAUGGGUACAGAAUUCCAGUUGGGGAAUAUGAAAAAGUUCUGGGUGGGGAUGGACAGUGGUGGUGGUUGAACAACAACCUAAAUGUACUUCCUGCCACUGGAUGUACACUUAAAAGUGGUUAAAAUGGGCCGAGCGAGGUGGCUUGCGUCUAAUCCCAGCACUUUGGGAGGUCGAGGUGGGCAGAUCAUGAGGUCAGGAGAUUGAGACCAUCCUGGCUAACAUGAUGAAAUCUCCGCUCUACUAAAAAUACAAAAAAUUAGCUGGGCAUGGUGGCAUGCACCUGUAGUCCCAGCUACUCAGGAGGCUGAAGCAGGAGAAGUGGUUGAACCCGGGAGGUGAAGUUUGCAGUGAGCUGAGAUCAUGCCAUUGCAUUCCAGCCUGGGUGACAGAAGAGGAACCCUUCUCAAAAAAAAAAAAAAAAAAGACAGAAAAAAAAGAAAGGAAAAAAAUGGUUAAAAUGGUGAAUUCUAUGUUAUAUAUAUUUCACAAUAAUUUACAAUAAUUCCUAUUGUUUUGCAUAAAACAGCUGUAGAAAGCUUUGCAGGUCAUGAACAGCACAGCUGGCCACUGGGGCUGGCGUGGGGCUAGGACCUGGGUGCAUAGGGAACAGGGAUGAGACACAGGCUCUUCAUGCCUGCACACAUAUACAGAUACACACAGAUGGAAAUUACUGAGCCAUCUAAAUACAACACCUAUUCAAAAAAUCAAACAGAAAAAGGAAAUGUAAUGGGGCUGAAGGAUGAGGGUAGGUGGGGUGGCUGCUCAGGAGGACUGUGGAGGCCACAUCGCCUAACCUUCGAGGCCUCUCUUAGCAGCUGGAGUGCAUCCCGGAGACUUGGGAACUCUGGAAAGAGGAGCAGGAGAGGGCCAUGGCCAGAGGAGGCCUGAAAAAGAUCAUCUCUGACACAGAGAAGAAGCUGGCUCGGAUGCUGGUGGCCACUGUGGAGACAGGUAGACCCAGGGAGACAACUGUAUGC